rnacentral:rRNA from 1 species
CCCUUAGAUGUCCUGGGCCGCACGCGCGCUACACUGAGUGUCUGAGAUACGAGUCUGCCUGGUCCGGCAAGGUCUAGGUAAUCGCUAAAAGACACAUCAUGCUUGGGAUAGAUUAUUGCAAAUAUUAAUCUUGAACGAGGAAUCCCUAGUAAGCGCAAGUCAACAGCUUGCGUUGAUUACGUCCCUGCCCUUUGUACACACCGCCCGUCGCUACUACUGAUUGGAUGUUUAAGCGAGGUUCUCGAACUGCUAGCGACUUAGCUUCGGUGAGGUCGCAGUGUGGGAAGUGAACCUAGCUUUGGUGUCUAGAGGAAGUAAAAGUCGUAACA